rnacentral:rRNA from 1 species
GAUGAACGCUAGCGACAGGCCUAACACAUGCAAGUCGAGGGGCAGCGCGGAGCAAGCUUGCUUGUUCUGGCGGCGACCGGCGCACGGGUGCGUAACAGGUGUGCAAUCUGUCCAUAAUCGGGGAAUAUCCCAGCGAAAGUUGGAUUAAUGCUCCAUGUGAGUUUUAGAGGCAUCUCUUUAAUUUGAAACGUAAGGAUUAUGGGUGAGCACGCUUCUGAUUAGGUAGUUGGUGAGGUAACGGCUCACCAAGCCGACGAUCAGUAGGGGUUCUGAGAGGAAGGUCCCCCACAUUGGAACUGAGACACGGUCCAAACUCCUACGGGAGGCAGCAGUGAGGAAUAUUGGUCAAUGGACGGAAGUCUGAACCAGCCAAGUCGCGUGAAGGAUGAAGGUUCUAUGGAUUGUAAACUUCUUUUGUCUGAGGGUAAAAAAGCGGACGUGUCCGUUCUUGCAAGUAUCAGACGAAUAAGCAUCGGCUAACUCCGUGCCAGCAGCCGCAGUAACAC